AACGAACGCUGGCGGCAGGCUUAACACAUGCAAGUCGAGCGCCCCGCAAGGGGAGCGGCAGACGGGUGAGUAACGCGUGGGAAUCUACCCAUCUCUACGGAAUAACGCAUGGAAACGUGUGCUAAUACCGUAUACGUCCUUCGGGAGAAAGAUUUAUCGGAGAUGGAUGAGCCCGCGUUGGAUUAGCUAGUUGGUGGGGUAAAGGCCUACCAAGGCGACGAUCCAUAGCUGGUCUGAGAGGAUGAUCAGCCACACUGGGACUGAGACACGGCCCAGACUGCUACGGGAGGCAGCAGUGGGGAAUAUUGGACAAUGGGCGCAAGCCUGAUCCAGCCAUGCCGCGUGAGUGAUAAAGGCCCUAGGGUUGUAAAGCUCUUUCACCGGUGAAGAUAAUGACGGUAACCGGAGAAGAAGCCCCGGCUAACUUCGUGCCAGCCGCCGCCGUAAUAC
rnacentral:rRNA from 1 species